UACGGAGGGAGCUAGCGUUGUUCGGAAAUACUGGGCGUAAAGCGCACGUAGGCGGCGCAGCAAGUCAGGGGUGAAAUCCCGGGGCUCAACCCCGGAACUGCCCUUGAAACUGCAGUGCUAGAAUCUUGGAGAGGCGAGUGGAAUUCCGAGUGUAGAGGUGAAAUUCGUAGAUAUUCGGAAAGAACACCAGUGGCGAAGGCGACUCGCUGGACAAGUAUUGACGCUGAGGUGCGAAAGCGUGGGAGCAACAGG
rnacentral:rRNA from 1 species